GACGACGCUGGCGGCGUGCCUAAUACAUGCAAGUAGAACGAGUUGCGAACGGGUGAGUAACGCGUGGUAACCUGCCUCAUAGCGGGGGAUAACUAUUGGAAACGGUAGCUAAUACCGCAUACCAUCAGAUGUGCCCAGAUGGGAGUAGCUAGUAGGUGAGGUAACGGCUCACCUAGGCGACGAUCCCUAGCUGGUCUGAGAGGAUGACCGGCCACACUGGGACUGAGAUACGGUCCAGACUCCUACGGGAGGCAGCAGUGGGGAAUGUGGCACAAAGGGCGCAAGCCUGAUGCAGCCAUGCCGCGUGUAUGAAUAAGGCUUUCGGGUUGUAAAGUACUCUUAGCGGGGAGGCGUUACCCGCAGAAGAAGCACCGGCUAACUCCGUGCCAGCCGCCGCGGUAAUAC
rnacentral:rRNA from 1 species